rnacentral:rRNA from 1 species
UACGGAGGAUGCAAGCGUUAUCCGGAAUUAUUGGGCGUAAAGCGUCCGUAGGUGGUUGUUCAAGUCUGCUGUUAAAGCGUGCGGCUUAACCGCAUACCAGCAGUGGAAACUGGGCGACUAGAGUGCGGUAGGGGUCAGGGGAAUUCCCAGUGUAGCGGUGAAAUGCGUAGAUAUUGGGAAGAACACCGGUGGCGAAAGCGCCUGACUGGACCUGCACUGACACUGAGGGACGAAAGCUAGGGGAGCGAAAGGG